UCUCCUGGAAAACGGGUGGUAAUGCCGGAUGUUCCACAUGAUCGCAUGUGAUUGUGGGAAAGAUUCUAUCGGCGUGGGAUGGGGUCGCGUCCUAUCAGCUUGUUGGUGAGGUAACGGCUCACCAAGGCUUCGACGGGUAGCCGGCCUGAGAGGGCGACCGGCCACAUUGGGACUGAGAUACGGCCCAGACUCCUACGGGAGGCAGCAGUGGGGAAUAUUGCACAAUGGGCGCAAGCCUGAUGCAGCGACGCCGCGUGAGGGAUGGAGGCCUUCGGGUUGUAAACCUCUUUUGUUUGGGAGCAAGCCUUCGGGUGAGUGUACCUUUCGAAUAAGCGCCGGCUAACUACGUGCCAGCAGCCGCGGUAAUACGUAGGGCGCAAGCGUUAUCCGGAUUUAUUGGGCGUAAAGGGCUCGUAGGCGGCUCGUCGCGUCCGGUGUGAAAGUCCAUCGCUUAACGGUGGAUCUGCGCCGGGUACGGGCGGGCUGGAGUGCGGUAGGGGAGACUGGAAUUCCCGGUGUAACGGUGGAAUGUGUAGAUAUCGGGAAGAA
rnacentral:rRNA from 1 species